CCUACGGGGGGCAGUAGUGGGGGAUAUUGCACAAUGGGGGAAACCCUGAUGCAGCGACGCCGCGUGUGGGAAGACGGUCUUCUGGAUUGUAAACCACUGUCCCCAGGGACGAAAAUGACGGUACCUGGGGAGGAAGCUCCGGCUAACUACGUGCCAGCAGCCGCGGUAAUACGUAGGGAGCAAGCGUUGUCCGGAAUUACUGGGUGUAAAGGGAGCGUAGGCGGGGAUGCAAGUUGGGUGUCAAAACUACCGGCUCAACCGAUAGUCGCACUCAAAACUGCAACUCUUGAGUGAAGUAGAGGCAGGCGGAAUUCCUAGUGUAGCGGUGAAAUGCGUAGAUAUUAGGAGGAACACCAGUGGCGAAGGCGGCCUGCUGGGCUUUUACUGACGCUGAGGCUCGAAAGUGUGGGGAGCAAACAGGAUUAGAUACCCUUGUAGUC
rnacentral:rRNA from 1 species